GACAGAGGGUGCAAACGUUGUUCGGAAUUACUGGGCGUAAAGCGCGUGUAGGUGGCGAGGCAAGUCGGGUGUGAAAGCCCCGGGCUCAACCUGGGAACCGCGCUUGAGACUGGAGAACUAGAGUUCGGGAGAGGAUGGUGGAAUUCCCAGUGUAGAGGUGAAAUUCGUAGAUAUUGGGAAGAACACCGAUGGCGAAGGCAGCCAUCUGGACCGACACUGACGCUGAGGCGCGAAAGCGUGGGGAGCGAACAGG
rnacentral:rRNA from 1 species